CCUACGGGGGGCAGCAGUCGAGAAUCAUUCACAAUGGGGGAAACCCUGAUGGUGCGACGCCGCGUGGGGGAAUGAAGGUCUUCGGAUUGUAAACCCCUGUCAUGUGGGAGCAAAUUAAAAAGAUAGUACCACAAGAGGAAGAGACGGCUAACUCUGUGCCAGCAGCCGCGGUAAUACAGAGGUCUCAAGAGUUGUUCGGAAUCACUGGGCGUAAGGCGUGCGUAGGCUGUUUCGUAAGUCGUGUGUGAAAGGCGCGGGCUCAACCCGCGGACGGCACAUGAUACUGCGAGACUAGAGUAAUGGAGGGGGAACCGGAAUUCUCGGUGUAGCAGUGAAAUGCGUAGAUAUCGAGAGGAACACUCGUGGCGAAGGCGGGUUCCUGGACAUUAACUGACGCUGAGGCACGAAGGCCAGGGGAGCGAAAGGGAUUAGAUACCCUAGUAGUC
rnacentral:rRNA from 1 species